rnacentral:rRNA from 1 species
GAUGAACGCUAGCUACAGGCCUAACACAUGCAAGUCGCGGGGCAGCAUGGGGGUUGCUUGCAACCCCCGAUGGCGACCGGCGCACGGGUGAGUAACGCGUAUCCAACCUGCCCUUCACCACGGGAUAACCCGGCGAAAGUCGGACUAAUACCGUAUGUUGUCCAUUGACGGCAUCCGAUCUGGACGAAAGGUUUGGCGGUGAAGGAUGGGGAUGCGUCCGAUUAGCCAGACGGCGGGGUAACGGCCCACCGUGGCUACGAUCGGUAGGGGUUCUGAGAGGAAGGUCCCCCACACUGGAACUGAGACACGGUCCAGACUCCUACGGGAGGCAGCAGUGAGGAAUAUUGGUCAAUGGGCGUAAGCCUGAACCAGCCAAGUAGCGUGCAGGAUGACGGCCCUAUGGGUUGUAAACUGCUUUUAUGCGGGGAUAAAGUGGCCCACGUGUGGGCUUUUGCAGGUACCGCAUGAAUAAGGACCGGCUAAUUCCGUGCCAGCAGCCGCGGUAAUACGGAAGGUCCGGGCGUUAUCCGGAUUUAUUGGGUUUAAAGGGAGCGUAGGCCGCGCCUUAAGCGUGUUGUGAAAUCCGGGUGCUCAACAUCCGGCUUGCAGCGCGAACUGGGGCGCUUGAGUGCGCUGAAAGUAGGCGGAAUUCGUGGUGUAGCGGUGAAAUGCUUAGAUAUCACGAGGAACUCCGAUUGCGAAGGCAGCCUACUGUAGCGCUACUGACGCUGAUGCUCGAAAGCGUGGGUAUCGAACAGG